AUUCCUACGGGAGGCAGCAGUGGGGAAUAUUGCGCAAUGGGGGAAACCCUGACGCAGCGACGCCGCGUGAGCGAAGAAGGCCUUAGGGUCGUAAAGCUCUGUUUUAAGGGACGAAUGUCGCGGGUAAUAAUACGAUCUGCGAAUGACGGUACCUUAAGAGGAAGCCCCGGCUAACUACGUGCCAGCAGCCGCGGUAAUAAU
rnacentral:rRNA from 1 species